CUCUUCCAAUCCCCUUGCCUCACCACUCCCUUGAUUCCUCAUUUCUCUCUCUACGUGCGGCCACUGCCGCUCACUCCUUGGGUCAAGAUCCCGUCGCCGCCAUAGCUCGGAACUCCAGCUUUCACUCGCGCCGUCUUUCACAGGGAGGAGCACAUGAGUAGAAAAUCGCCGGGAGGAGCGGAAGGCUGCCGCAGUUUCGAGCGACCGCAAGUUGAGGUGAGAUGCUGCUAUAACCCCAUCCCUUCUCUUUUUUUCUUCCAUUGAGCUAGCACUUGUGUUCCUCUUCUUUUUUCCUCCUCACAGAACACCCGUGCAGCUGACCUCGGCUCAUUGCCGCACUUGGUUGUCUCGCCGGGAGAGAAAGAGAGAGAAAGAGGAGGCUAUGUAGGGAGGAGGAGCAACCCGAGGAGGAGGUGCGGCAACAGUAGCAAGUGGUGGUCUGUACCUCCAUCCCUAGCCCCUCUGCAUCGGCGAACCGCCGGCUGGCCGGCUCAGCCUUCUUCGGCCCCAUCUCUCCUCCUCUACGUCCUUGCGAUUCAAGAUAAGGUGUUCGAUGAAAAUCAAACGAAGCUGCAGGUAAAGGUUAAUUCAUUUUUAUGUUAUGGUGUCUACUCAAUAGUUCAUUUCUUCUAAAUAUACUUGCAAUCAAUGAUGAAUUACCUAUUUGAUAUUACUCUCUCUUAGUUAUGUGAAUUGUAUUUUUUUAUAUAUACCUCUUUAGGUUAUGUGACUUUCAUGUAUGUAAACUCAUUUCACUCAGAGUUGGAACUGGAGCUACGAGUUUGGAUAAAGUAGGUGGAGAAACCUUUAGGUUUAUUUGAUGGGCCUUACCUAUUUGGUUUUGCUUCCAAUGCAAUGGGGUGCACGACGGGGUGUGUGAGGCACUGGCCAUCUCAGAGUUGAGCUAUGCGUUUCUAAGUGCACUUUGUUUCUCCCUUUGCAACGACGUGACUUUAGCGGCUCUGAGUUCUCUGAGUUGAUUGACCUGAAACAGGGUUCCAUAUUCAUUGAUUCUCGAAGAGUUCCUUUGUUCGUACCACGGUUGAUUUGUACAUAUCGGUUUGACCCUGAUUUUGUUGAAUUUCAUGGGAAAUGUUGCGAAGAUCAGCCCUAGAUAUGGACACAGCGCGUGACAUGCUCUUUCUCUACGGAACUUUCAGUAUUGCAAUGGAGCCAAGAAAUUUUAUUGAAGUUCGUUUUCGAGGACCUUGAGUAAAUAAGGUGAUCAGGGAAUCCACCAGGGGGGAACCAUCUAACCUAAAGGUUAAACAAAGCAUGUCAUCCUUCUUUUCAAAUAACCGUUGAUGUAGUUAUGCACGUGUUUUAAAUGCUACAGCUGUAGUUUUCAAAAUAGGAUCAUAUAUGUGUUCAGGCCCCCUUCCAGUUUUAUCUCAUCAUCUUCUAUCAUGCUUAAUUUUUUAUUUAUUUAGACUAAGGCCAAGUGGUGGGAGUCCAUUUGUGCAGCAGCUCGCAUAACCUAUCAGUCUCCUAGGUUUACAAGUUGCAAGGUGGAUAAGUUUAUCCCUAUGGGAUGUCAUGAGGCUGCUUCUGUGAUGAAAGGUUCAGUGUUAGGUGCAUGCUUAGAUAAUGUAUUCCUAAAUUAUUCUUUGGUU